rnacentral:lncRNA from 1 species
GGUGUCGACCUCAAGAAGGAUCGCUGGUGGGUCGUUUUUCUCGGCCUCUUUCUCUUCACGUCCUGAACUCAGUCUCUUCGGGACUCACUUCCACGCUCUCCUAGUCUCUUUGGCACUCACAUCCACGUGGCGCUUUAGCCAGCCCUUCCUUCCCAGCCCCCUUGCUGCACCUCGAGCCGGCUCUUCCUCCACCUGGGCAGGGCGGCCGGGGCCCCAGAUGCGCUCCAAGCCUUGAUUCCUGUCUGCCUUAUCCUAGUAGGGGUUUUCCCCUCCUCUAACUUUCCACGUUCGUCUGGUUCCAAGUCAAGACUCUCCUGCAGCAACUGUCAAGCCCCUCUCGGUUCCCUGGCACUCUCCUGCGUUGUUUCUUAACUGUAUAAUGCACAGGAUAAACCUUAAACCGAAGGCUGUCUCCUGCGAGGACCAGAAGUUGAGCCAAGGCACAUGGAACUUACAAUAGCAGAUGGUAAGAACCAGGGCAGAAGGAGAACUCCUGAAGCCUCCGAAGGAAGGAAAUCAUUACAGGGCCCUACAGAAGUAGGUCAUGUGCUACAGCUGCUCAUAGUUUAAGAGGAAGAAACAUGGGAUCUCAAACCUGGAACACGACUCUUUCAAAAUGCUUGUGAGCAACCCAAGAAAAACAUCCUCCUGAGGCUUAUCUAAUAACCAUGAUCUCUAAUCGUCUCAAUGUGUGCUCAUGUUUCCUUAGGAGUUUGCACCCACUUCUCAGAGCUAACGAGAUGCCGAAACAGAACACAGAAAAAAGUAAUGAAGGAGAUUUAAUAGUUUGUGUUAAAGCUAAUAUGGUCCAUUAGGGGCUGUCAUUUUUAUAAACAGUGAGGAUACGUUACCCUCUUCUUUGGUGUAAAGUCAUUCCGUGCAGGACCUGUAAACAUUCAGUAAUGAUCUGUAGAACAUGCAUGAACGACAAUUAAAGCACCACUUGAAAAGUCUGUUUUCCUCACAUAUUUGUUUUCUUGCUAAAUAAACUUGUAAAGUUCAUACAUGUGUACGCAUAUGCUUACAUUAUAAAAAAAGUGUGCAUUUCAUUAAGAACAUCUACGAACAGAUAUAAGUGUUUUUGGUUCCCAUUAGCUUGAGAAAUAUCAGAAGUGAUUAGUUAAAUGAGGAGCAUAGGUUCUGUUUUUUAGUGCAUACUAUAAUAAUAAAACAACCACUCUUUUAUGGUAGCUUAGCAAGACAAAAUUAUAGUUCACAAUGUCAUGAAAGGCAUGAUUACAACCUUUGAAAGUUACAAGUAAAAAAGCUUCUAUAAAACCUAUCUGUUGCCAAAAAAUUAUGUUCUACAGUGAUUCAGAUAUAUUUCUGAAAUUUAUUUUUUAAUUGUGGCUGAUACCAA